CCUACGGGAGGCAGCAGUGGGGAAUUUUGGACAAUGGGCGCAAGCCUGAUCCAGCUAUUCCGCGUGUGGGAUGAAGGCCCUCGGGUUGUAAACCCCUUUAGUAGAGAACGAAAAGGAGCUAUCGCAUACAUAGCUCUGCUGACGGUACUCUAAGAAUAAGCACCGGCUAACUACGUGCCAGCAGCCCCGGUAAUACGGAGGAUUCAAGAGUUGUCCGGAUUUAUUGGGGUGAAAGGGUGCGUGGGCGGUCGGGUAAGUGAGAGGUGAAAUCCCGAGGCUUAAAUUCGGCAUUGCCUCUGAUACUGUUCGGCUAGAGAGUAGUUGCGGUAGGCGGAAUGUAUGGUGUAGCGGUAAAAUGCUUAGAGAUCAUACAGAACACCGAUUGCGAAGGCAGCUUACCAAGC
rnacentral:rRNA from 1 species